UGGGGAAUAUUGGACAAUGGGCGAAAGCCUGAUCCAGCCAUGCCGCGUGAGUGAUGAAGGCCUUAGGGUUGUAAAGCUCUUUCGCCAGGGAAGAUAAUGACGGUACCUGGAUAAGAAGCCCCGGCUAACUUCGUGCCAGCAGCCGCGGUAAUACGUAGGGAGCAAGCGUUGUUCGGAUUUACUGGGCGUAAAGGGCGCGUAGGCGGCGCGGUAAGUCACUUGUGAAAUCUCUGAGCUUAACUCAGAACGGCCAAGUGAUACUGCUGUGCUAGAGUGCGGAAGAGGCAACCGGAAUUCUUGGUGUAGCGGUGAAAUGCGUAGAUAUCAAGAGGAACACCUGAGGCGAAGGCGGGUUGCUGGGCCGACACUGACGCUGAUGCGCGAAAGCCAGGGGAGCAAACG
rnacentral:rRNA from 1 species